rnacentral:RNase_P_RNA from 1 species
CAAAUCGGAUGAUCGCGCGAUGAAAGACUCGUGAGGAAGGUCCAUGCCCGCCCAAUCUGAGAUGAUUGGAGUGUUUGUACUGAGCCCAAUAAGCGAAGGCAGUAUUUAACUGACGGCUAGCGAAAGGACUAAAGCUUAGCCAUGUCUGAUUAACUUAUAAAAGUGCUAUAG